UUAAUAAAUACUCAUAUUAAAUCAUAGCAUAACACACAAGUAGGUACAAAAAUAAUCAGUGAUGCAAAUGCGACCAUUUUUGUCGCAGUGUAGCUCCCUGCUUUACCAUGUCAUGCAACGCUGAGCAACGCUCAGACGUUCAGCCCAACAAACAUGAGACGUCUAUACGACGUGCAGAUCAAGUCUAAAAUGCGUCGGUCGGUCUGGACCAUAUCUGGACGUUUACACGACAUGCAAAUCCGGUUCAUAUCUGGACGUCGAACUACGACGUCCCUUGGACGUCGAUAUGAGGUUCAAAAUUUGAACGUCGGGCUAAGGAUUUUCUUGGACGUCUGUAGAACGUGCAGAACAAGUUCAGGAAAUUGACAUAAGUUUUUUUAAUAUAAACACAAAGCAAUACUUUGAUUUCUGAUUUAAAUAUCACAUGUAGCUUAUACUCUUCUGAAACAUCUAGGUGAUAAAUUAAUUAAUUUAUUUAUUUAUUUGAGUGGUAUUUUUCACUGGAGCAUUGACAGAAAAGCAGUUUUCAUCUAGAUUUAAAUAUAGUUAAAGGAUUAAAAUAUUAAUGUUUAGUAUAUUUAAAUAGAUAAUUAGAUUGGAAUAAUAUUAUAUCAUAUUAAAUAAUAAAUAUUUAAUACAUAGAUUUAAAUGAAAUUAAAUACAGUCUAUUUAAACAUGCUCGUCACGAGAGGCAUUGACGUGAUGUUACGUUAGUGACGUAAACGUGAUGGCAGAAAAAAAAAAGUAAACGUGAUGGCGCAAACAAUCACGAAGACGGAAGAAUAAUUCAGUUUAUUACAAAAGACUGAAGAUAUAACUACCGCCAUCCUUUAAUUUAUUUAUUUCUACGUUGAGGACACUUUAUAAUCCUACAGAGAUACCUGACUAACGAACAACCUUCACAACGGGACGGAGCUAAUUAACGUUAAUGUUACUUUGAAAUUCAAACAGUAACGGUCAUCUGACUACUGGUGCUGAGCCAAAGGUAAGCAUAAAUGUGCUUUUAUUCGUCGUUUUAUUAAUCUAAUGUUAAAUUUCAAUUCAGAUUAAUAUUUAAAAUUAUUUAUUUGGAUUAGAAAGAUUAUAUAUUUUCAAAUUCCUCUUUUUAUAAUUGGACAUUAUCCCUGUUGGUUUAUUUUAGGUGGUUCAAUUUACAGUCUGAGGACGGGAACAUCAACAAAAAAAGUUUAACUUCUGAUUCAUAAUCUACACACUCUACUGGUAACGUUAACACUACUGACACCUAGUGGGCAGUUGGUGAAGACAGAUGUUGUGACGAUAGGACAGUUCCUCCUCACCAGUCUCUGCUGUAUAUGGAUGCCUGUCCACUAGCACAAGACAUUUACAACAUUUUGGAGCCAGGGACCCCUUGCAGAUAAGAUUUUUCAAGGACACCCUCAGAAUUACAAGAUUUUAAGGUUUAAAAUUAUUGUGGGUUGGAAUAUAAUGAACAUAAUAUGAUUUUUUUAUUUAUUCAUUUAGUUUUUUUAAAUGAUCCCCAAUUUUUAAAUAAUACAUUUGUUCAAUACCGCACAAUAUAGGGCUAAGUUGCACCAGGUCAGGAAAAAACAGAUAAAUUAUCGGUGUAUAAGAAACAUUUUGCUAUUAAUUUCAGAAAUAAUUUAAAUACUGAUAAAUAAAAUGUAAUAAAAAUGUAAAGAAACGUAAAAACUAUAAAGACUGUUAAUAUUUUAUUUUCCCUCACUUUCAAAUCAUCUAUUCAAAACAGAACAAAAAUAAAAAUAUUUAGGCCUAUGUAUAAAAUAAACUAAUUCUAGUGCCAUUAGUUACAAGCAGUAUUUCUUUUGUUAAAUAAAGAAACAAACAAAAAAAAAAACACUUGCCAUCUCAGUUUCUGUGAACCUCAUCCUGAAAUGUAGAAAACACAGAGGUACAGACAAUGCUACUGUGUACAGACAGACUUGAGAGGGUGAGAACUAUAUUUAUAGAAACAUUUAAGUGCCCACUUUUAUGUUUACGUUGUGCUUAGGCCUUUUGACAUUACAUGCAUUAUAUAAGUUACUUUGGAAUAAUUCAGCACAUCUCAGAAGAUUCAAAAAUAUGACUUGGAGUCUGGAAAAUAUGGUAUAAAAUAUUUUGUGGACCCAUUUGCUUUGGUCCUGAACCCCAGAUCGAAAACCCUUGAAUUGUAGUAUAAUGUGUUUUUUUUUAAUUAUUAUUAUUAUUAUAGUGCAUGCAGAUAAUAUUUAGGCACACAAACACUUGACUAUUGCAUGAAUAAAGAAUACCAUAUUUAAGAAUUUUGUGCUAAUUGCAGUUUAAAUAAAAAUGAAAAAGCUUAAAAAGUGAAGCUCCAACAGGUGAACAUAAUGUGUGGACCCAACUAAACUAAAUUUUUGUUGUUAUUUGUUAUCCACUGUAUAAUGAGUGAAAUGUAUUUUAUUUUUAUGUGUUUUUUUGUUUUGUUUUUGUUUUUGUGUAUGUGUGAACACACUGUUUCUUUAAGUUUAUUUACAAGUAGAAAGAUAAAUUGCAUGGAAAUAAACAUGAGAUUUAAUUGAAUUCAGCCUAAGAGUGUUUAUUUUGUCUAGAAAUCUGAACUCAAUUUUAACCUCCUAGAGACAUCCUGUGUACAUCGAUAUUGGACGUCCAAAAGACGUCGAAAAAAGACGUUAUAAAAACUUUCAUUUUGGCUCUUCGGGGGACGUCAUUUCAACGUCCGUCAAAGACGUCGAAAAGACGUCGUUUCGACGUACUUUUGCUCAGUGGGAGCCUGACAGAGAAAUCUCACAAGCACAUAUAAACACUCAUUUUCAUGUGUAUAGUAUAUUCUUCUAAUUGUUUUGUGCCGUUUCGCUGCAGUGUUUUCAUGUGAAGGCUGUAAAUGUGGACUUAAGAGAUGUGGACUUAAGAGUGUUAAGAG